UGAUCCUGGCUCAGGAUGAACGCUAGCGGCAGGCAUAAUACAUGCAAGACGAACGGUAACUUGAGUAGCAAUACUUGAGCUAGAGUGUCGUACGGGUGCGUAACACGUAUGCAACCUACCUUUUACAGGAGUAUAGCUCCCCGAAAGGGGAAUUAACCCUCCAUAAUAUCAUUGGAUGGCAUCAUUUGAUGAUUAAAACUGAGGUGGUAAAAGAUGGGCAUGCGUCUGAUUAGUUAGUUGGCAGUGUAACGGACUACCAAGACGAUGAUCAGUAGGGGACCUGAGAGGGUGAUCCCCCACACUGGCACUGAGAUACGGGCCAGACUCCUACGGGAGGCAGCAGUAGGGAAUAUUGGACAAUGGGUGAGAGCCUGAUCCAGCCAUGCCGCGUGCAGGAAGAAGGCG
rnacentral:rRNA from 1 species